CCGAGGGACACAACCCACUACCGUACGCGUUUGCUGAGCUCAUCGAUAACUCUCUGGCCGCGACGUCACAGAACGAUGGGCCGAGGCACAUCGAGCUGAGACUGAUGUUAACCCAGAAGCAGGGCCGGAACAAAUGGUCUGUGUCA